ACCGUGGCUGGGGCCAGGAGCUGUGC
rnacentral:misc_RNA from 1 species